rnacentral:rRNA from 1 species
CACGUAGGGCGCAAGCGUUGUCCGGAAUUAUUGGGCGUAAAGAGCUUGUAGGCGGUCUGUCGCGUCUGCUGUGAAAAUCCGGGGCUCAACCCCGGACUUGCAGUGGGUACGGGCAGACUAGAGUGUGGUAGGGGAGACUGGAAUUCCUGGUGUAGCGGUGAAAUGCGCAGAUAUCAGGAGGAACACCGAUGGCGAAGGCGGCAUCCUGGACCAACACUGACACUGAGGAGCGAAAGCCAGGGGAGCAAACGGG